CUACCAUGCAGUCGAACGAACUCUUCGGAGUUAGUGGCGGACGGGUGAGUAACACGUGGGAACGUGCCUUUAGGUUCGGAAUAACUCAGGGAAACUUGUGCUAAUACCGAAUGUGCCCUUCGGGGGAAAGAUUUAUCGCCUUUAGAGCGGCCCGCGUCUGAUUAGCUAGUUGGUGAGGUAAAGGCUCACCAAGGCGACGAUCAGUAGCUGGUCUGAGAGGAUGAUCAGCCACAUUGGGACUGAGACACGGCCCAAACUCCUACGGGAGGCAGCAGUGGGGAAUCUUGCGCAAUGGGCGAAAGCCUGACGCAGCCAUGCCGCGUGAAUGAUGAAGGUCUUAGGAUUGUAAAAUUCUUUCACCGGGGACGAUAAUGACGGUACCCGGAGAAGAAGCCCCGGCUAACUUCGUGCCAGCAGCCGCGGUAAUACGAAGGGGGCUAGCGUUGCUCGGAAUUACUGGGCGUAAAGGGAGCGUAGGCGGACAUUUAAGUCAGGGGUGAAAUCCCGGGGCUCAACCUCGGAAUUGCCUUUGAUACUGGGUGUCUUGAGUAUGAGAGAGGUGUGUGGAACUCCGAGUGUAGAGGUGAAAUUCGUAGAUAUUCGGAAGAACACCAGUGGCGAAGGCGACACACUGGCUCAUUACUGACGCUGAGGCUCGAAAGCGUGGGGAGCAAACAGGAUUAGAUACCCUGGUAGUCCACGCCGUAAACGAUGAUUGCUAGUUGUCGGGAUGCAUGC
rnacentral:rRNA from 1 species